CAGCAGCCGCGGUAAUACGUAAGGGGCGAGCGUUGUUCGGGAUCAUUGGGCGUAAAGGGUGAGUAGGCGGAUAUGCAAGUCUAUGUGUAAAAUACCACAGCUCAACUGUGGAACUAUGCUGGAAACUGCAUGACUAGAGUCUGAUAGGGGAAGUUAGAAUUCCUGGUGUAAGGGUGGAAUCUGUUGAUAUCAGGAAGAAUACCAGAGGCGAAGGCGAACUUCUAGGUCAAGACUGACGCUGAGUCACGAAAGCGUAGGGAGCAAACAGGAUUAGAUACCCUGGUAGU
rnacentral:rRNA from 1 species